rnacentral:lncRNA from 1 species
UCUUGGCACGGAAUGAAUGACACCAACAGUAUGAGAGCGCGAGUGGUUCUGUUGUGGUGACGUAGUAUUGGAGGUGGAAUGGGAGAGGGGGGCCAGUGUACUGCGAUCCCUCUCGUGCAUGCCUGCUGCUUGCUGAGUCCCAGUACAGUAAGCUGGGAACUGCCCACUGAGAGCCAAACACAGGAAAAGCCUUUUCCUGUGGAACGCCUUGAAGUGAGAAACACAUGGCUAAUCUGCAUAAACUCGAAGCCACACCGCCCUUGCCAGGAAGACCAGAAGAUCAAGAAACUCAUGCCAUGAACGCAAGACAAAAAGAGACUAAACAUGGAAGAAAUACUGAAUCAUCUAGCAAAAUUCAAACACAUUAUGAAAGCCAACUGUAAUAACCACCUCACAGCUGUCCACCUCAAAGAGGCAUGCCAGAAAAACCACAACCAGGUGGCUGCUAUUUCUUUAUUCUUCUUCAACACCAGAAAGAGCCCUUCAAAUAAAGCAGCUAGAACACCAAACUAAUGAUUUUCUCAACAAAUAAUAUUUUUCAUCCACAACACUUUCAUUAGCCACUUUUAUAAAGGAAAGGCUUUUCCUAAAGUGAAGAUCACUUCUUUUCUAAAACCACAUUUAACUAAUCAAUUUCUUCCUAUUUCCAGUAAAUU